CAGACGCAACUGUUCAACAAGGCGGCGGCGACAGACUGCGAUUCAGCGACAUGGACGAGAUCAUCACCUCGCUGGGUGUGGGUCCAGCAACAUACCUGUUAUUCGCAGUCGCGUCCUUGGGACCAAUGUCGGAGGUGGUUAAUCUCAUUGGAUCCCAGUUCAUAUCUCCGCCAGUUCAGUUUACCUGUCUCGACCGCCAUCAAUCGGACGUCAUUGUAACCAACACUUCGGAAUGCAUCGUGGUAUCGGCAGGAGGAGAGUCAAACGAAACACGAAGCUGCAAACUUUAUCAAUUUUCACAUGAAAUUCAUCACUUCACCCUGACA
rnacentral:lncRNA from 1 species